AAAAGAAGUAGUAGCAGCAUCAACAGAGACCUCAGGGUGAGGAGCUCCUCCCAGUGUGGUAAGCAGCUGGAUUACACGGUUCUAUUUCAAGCAAUGUUGGCUGCUAGGACAUCUUCCAUGUAAAUUGCAUGGCUCCAGGUGUGACAUCAGUGUUUUUGUUUAAAGAAACCUGUCUGAAAUGGAAUUAAGAAAAGAUCUCAAGGACAUGGUAGUAAAGUUAAAGCCCUGCCCCACGGCCAGUAUAUUUCAUGUUGCAUGGUCUUUUUUGAAGGCUCUGGAUGAUGACUCAGAACAUAUUUGCUAAAUAUCUAUCUACAAGAGGCUUCCCAUUGAUCCCUGUGCCAGUCACUAAGGGUAAAACUGUCCACUUCUGCUGUCCAAGGAAAAGGAGCUCGCACAUUCUGGUAUGGAAAUAGCAGAGAUUCUCAAAUUUUGAGCUCAAGUAACAUCUCCCAGGCAUCUCCAUCCUGGCUACCUGGCUACCAUGCAGCGGCCUUGAAGCCUGUGCAAAGGAAACACAGGCUAUUUGAAUUAACUAUCCUCCACUCUGGAUGAACAAAGGCAGCAUUCAUGAUCCUUCAUUUCAUGGAAGAAAAUACAUCACCUUUUUGAUCAGAAAGACUGGACACUGUUCUGAAGAAAACAUUUUCUAGGACCUUUGCCACUGUUUUCCUGGUGACAACAGUCUGAGCCUCUUUCCUCAGGUGAUGCAAAGAUGAUUUGUGAUGAUGAAUCCCUCCGUGAAGGCAUUAAGACUUUCUGCAUCUGCAGGAAUGAGGAAUGUUAGUUUAUGUGUAUGGCUGGAAAUUACAGUAUUACAAAUUGUCUAGGAGUUCAUAUUUAUUAAACAAGACAAUAACAAACCAAAUAUGCAAUUUUGUGACAAUGCUGUCACACUGCAAAUCACAGUGGAGCUUCUUAACAGCAAAAAACACAGCAAUUGCUGUAUCCCUUCUUAAGCCAGCAAUCCUAAAAUGCACAAGGUCUGGACAUGUCACUCAGAAGUUCUCAUGCAGCUGCACAAAUGAGGAGAAAUACAGAAGACUAAUGAGAAAACAAAUCUGCUCUACACUGCCAUAUACUACAGAAACCGAGAGUUAUGAUGCCUUACACAGCAGUUUUUCCUUGAGAAUAAAUCCUUGA
rnacentral:lncRNA from 1 species